rnacentral:misc_RNA from 1 species
CAUUUUCACGACAACAUCACGCACUCUAAUCCUAGCAGGUACACCUGUUAUAAAGGCAACGAGCUUCUUUGAAGCCUUGGCACGGACCCCAAUGUGCCAGCUUCUGUAAUAACCAGGAGGGUGCAAAGCCCACCUUAGGAACUCCUUAGAGUAAUUAAAUCUAAACAUGUUUUCAUCAUCCUCGACAUAAUUAUUCUUCAA